rnacentral:lncRNA from 1 species
CACAUAUGAGUUUACUGUAUCAUAGAAACCACAUACCCAUCACAAUGACACAGAUGUGUUUACUCUACCAUAGACUCCCCAUAUCCCUUACAAUGUCUCAGACAUGUUUACUUUGUCAUAGAACCUACAUGACCAUCACUAUGUCACAGAUAUGUUUACUCUAUCAUAAACCCAACAAAUCCGACAAAUCAUCUCAGACAUGUUUACUAUGUCAAAGACCCUACAUGGCCGUCACGAUAUCUCAGACAAGUGUACUAUGUCAUAGACCAAACAUCCCCACAAACAAACAUACCACUUCUUUCUAUAUCUAGUUACUGCAAGGUGUGUUGCUCGUGCUGAGUGGAUGCAGUAGAAUGUGUACC